rnacentral:tRNA from 1 species
UUUGGUCUUGKWAGCCAAAGGAUGAAGAUCCACCCUUCCUAGAGUU